UCGGGGCCCGAGGCUCAGCCGCUCGCGGUGGAGAAAGCAGGCCGCGGAGGAGGCGGGCGCCCAGGCCUGCCCGGACAGGAAGUGGGCCCAGCUUUCCCACUCCUCGCUCCGCUCCUUCCUCCGCGGGAAGGGCAGGCCCCGGAGGCAGCGAGCGCCCCGGGGGUGGCCGGGCAGCCGGAUGCUCCCGGGGUUGCGGGCUGUGGCCCCGGGGGCUGAGGGCGGCGCGGGUGCGGCGGAAGCAGGGAAGCCGCGAACCGGCCUUCUGGCUGGCCACAGCGCCCUGCACGGACGAUCAGUGAAUGGAGAUUACUCAAGUAUUUAUCGAGAACUUGCAGUGGGCUAGGCACAGUUCAGGUCCACAGUUAUUUCACUUCUAAAUAAAUAUGGUUUUUUAAAAGUGGCACGCGGUGGAAUGUAAUUGAGACAGGAUGGAGUUCCUAGAGAAAUUUUACUUCCUCAAUCUGCACUCCACCUUACUUAAAAUACAGUCUUGGGUCUGUAAUUCCCUUAUCUGACUCUCAAGGAAAUGACAAAGUAAUGCCUAGAUUGGACUAAACCUCAUUUAACUUCAAGGCUGACCUUUCUCAAAGUUGAACCUUCGUCUUGUGAGGAACAGAAAGAUCAAGAACUCUGAAGCACCUCGACUUUCCACCUGUGAAGAUGUGUUCAAAUUUGCAACGUGCGGCCACACCUAUGAGGUCACUCCCUCUGGAGGAAACCAGCUGCCACUUUGUGAGGAUACUCAUAGUCCUGUGGAGGCAUAUCCUCCAUAUGGCUGAGACCUCCUGCGAACAACCAUCACUGACUUGCCAGACAUGAGUGUGCCACCUUGGAAGCAGAUUUUCCAGCCCCAGUUAAGCCUUCAGAUGACAUCAGCCCCUGCUAAUCUCUUGACUACAACCUCAUGAGAGACCCUGAGCCAGAACUAGCCAGGCUUACCCCUCAUGGUUACAAAGUGGCUGCAACAGCUCCAGGUGUUCUAUCCUUUAACACAGAAUAACUCAAACAACAAGACCCAAUAUUCAGACAAGAAGGAAAGGGACUUUUGGAGAGUGAAGAAAACUUUCCUAGAAACCUCAAACUUCUCCCCAUGCCUUAUUGGCCAGAUUGUAUCCCAUGCCCAUUUCUAAACCAAUCAUUGGCAAAGUGAGUGGAAUUGACGUGAUUAGAUUAACUUUACCAAGAAUGCAUCCUCAGAGAGGCUGAGAAAAAGUCCAGCCUCCUUUGAAGAGCCUGGCUACCUUUCACCUGAACAAAACAAGAAUUCUGAUGAAAAAUGGAGAAUGUAUGUGGAGCAGGCACCCGGAGUGUCUAUGCCAGGAUUUUUUUUCAGUGCGUUUCACCGGUUAUAUUUUUGUCUCUUUACCUUACAAGAUAUGUGGCACGUUUGCCUAAAACAAGCCUUGCUUUCUGAUUUCUGUGCACUAGGCACUUAAACCUUGCAAAUGUCGCUUACCUAACAGUCACUGUCAAGGAGUACCUGGCUAAAGAAUCUCCAGCUAGACAAAGUAGAAGUGUCUGUGCUCUGGCAGUUGAAUAUAUUGUAUCAGGCUCAACAGCACCUUUCACCAAAGGAUGAGACUUCACAACCAUUAGAUCUUCUUUUAUUUUGUUUUUAUUAAAAAAAAAAAUUUUAACACACCAUUGCUAACUUGAAGCCAUUAGAUCUUCUUACCCCCAAUACCACAAAAGUUUAGUGGAAUCAGGGGUAUACCAAGGCAGGUGGAGUAGGGGAGCUGGGAGUGGUCAGCCCCCAGGGCAGGCAAUGAGGGAUUGUGAAUCUGUGAAGAAUUUUAAAGCAAUGAUACAGCUCUAAAUGCAAUGUACUAUCCUGGACUUAGCCCUGGAAAAGAAAAAAGAUAUUAGUGGAAAAACUGGUAAAAUUCAAAUAAUGUCUGUAGUUUGGUUAAUAGUAUUAUACCAAUGUUAAUUUCUGUGUUUUGAUAAAUGUACCAUGGUUAUGUAAGCUGGAUGAAAGAUAUGUGGGAAAUCUCUCUACUAUUUCUGCAACUCUCCUGUAAACCUAAAAAUGUUUCAAAAUAAAAGAUUUAAUGCUAAAAUUGAAAAAAAAAAAAAAA
rnacentral:lncRNA from 1 species